GACGAACGCUGGCGGCGUGCUUAACACAUGCAAGUCGAACGGUAAGACCCCUUCGGGGGUACACGAGUGGCGAACGGGUGCGUAACACGUGGGUGAUCUGCCCUGCACUUCGGGAUAAGCCUGGGAAACUGGGUCUAAUACCGGAUAGGACCACGCUCUGCAUGGAGUGUGGUGGAAAGCUUUUGCGGUGUGGGAUGGGCCCGCGGCCUAUCAGCUUGUUGGUGGGGUGAUGGCCUACCAAGGCGACGACGGGUAGCCGGCCUGAGAGGGUGUCCGGCCACACUGGGACUGAGAUACGGCCCAGACUCCUACGGGAGGCAGCAGUGGGGAAUAUUGCACAAUGGGCGCAAGCCUGAUGCAGCGACGCCGCGUGGGGGAUGACGGCCUUCGGGUUGUAAACCUCUUUCAGUACCGACGAAGCGCAAGUGACGGUAGGUACAGAAGAAGCACCGGCCAACUACGUG
rnacentral:rRNA from 1 species